CGUCCCGAAUUCCGAAGUAAGGAGUAGCGGAUUUCUACUCCGUGGGUUGCAGGUUCGAAUCCUGCUGGGAUCGCCA
rnacentral:tRNA from 1 species